UCUAGUCACCGUGUAGCGGCGGAAAGUGCCGUAUGAAUUGUGCACGUGGGUUUUCUGCGAAGACGCGAUAACGGCGGUUGGUGUACGAAGUUUGUGCCACUGUUUUCUGCCCUAUCAACAUGCGGACCGAAGUAUUCGAACCGGACAUUUUAGAGAGAGAGAGACUCCCACCGCCUCCCGCCCCGCGACGGAGACGGUUUAUUCGUUUCUUGCUGCCCCGCCUCUACAACCGCCGCUAUGGCCAGGACCUGGAGUGGAUUGACCAGGAGGAGGGCACUUUCCGCAUCCGCUGGGGUCUGGACCCAGGGAUUUCUCAGAGGGGCCCUCCUGUACAGUUCUUUAAGGACUGGGCUGUCAUAAAGAGGAUCUGGAAUGAGGCGGAUCCAAAAAACCUUGACAAGGCAAAAGACCGAGUUCGAAUGGCCUUAUCGAAUAUCAGAUAUGUGAAGCAAGUAAAAUCGGAGAACAAGAACUACCGGUGCUUUAGAAUUGAAAACCAGCAGCUUCUUGAUGACACAAAACGCAGAUUGCGUCUCAGGCAGCAAAUGAGAGAUGGUAUUUUGAGUCAUGUUAAGUUUUGUGCCAUCCACAAAACUGCCUAUGCGCCCUGCUGCUGCCAGUGCUACUCUUGGAGGACUCCACCUGGGCCAAUAUUUCCAGAUCAAAAGGAAGGAGACAUUACGUAUAUCUGCGACCAAUUUGAGUUCUUCUGCACGCAGACGAGCCAGCGAUACACGCACCCCCUCUACUGGAUGUUAUUUUGAAAACUCCGCUCAUGCACCGAUUGGCACACGAAAACCCAUUGCUGUGAUAGAAGGAAAAAGAAAUUGCUGGGCGCAUACUGCCAUCUGCUGACCAAAACACCAAUUAAGCUAGGACGAGCGUCUCUCGUCCAAAAUGCUCAAGGGGUGAACAAAUACUGCAAGUGUACCCUCAUGUUCAGUGUUGGUACAGGAUGGAUGACUAUGGGAACUUGCAGUUAACAAGUACAGAUCUCCCCAUCUAAGGGUACUCG